AAGCCUUUUUACCAUAAGCGAGGUAUAGAGUUCCUACGUUCAAAUUCAGUCGUAGGAACUUAAUACCGUGCUCUUGGAGGGCUGUC
rnacentral:pre_miRNA from 1 species